rnacentral:rRNA from 1 species
CCUACGGGUGGCUGCAGUGGGGAAUUUUGGACAAUGGACGCAAGUCUGAUCCAGCCAUGCCGCGUGCGGGAAGAAGGCCUUCGGGUUGUAAACCGCUUUUGUCAGGGAAGAAAAGGGUGUUUCUAAUACAGACGCCUCAUGACGGUACCUGAAGAAUAAGCACCGGCUAACUACGUGCCAGCAGCCGCGGUAAUACGUAGGGUGCAAGCGUUAAUCGGAAUUACUGGGCGUAAAGCGUGCGCAGGCGGUUAUGCAAGACAGAGGUGAAAUCCCCG